rnacentral:rRNA from 1 species
UACAGAGGGGGCAAGCGUUAUUCGGAAUUAUUGGGCGUAAAGGGUGCGUAGGCGGCGCGGUAAGUCGGGUGUGAAAUCUCGGGGCUUAACUCCGAAACUGCAUUCGAUACUGCCGUGCUUGAGGACUGGAGAGGAGACUGGAAUUUACGGUGUAGCGGUGAAAUGCGUAGAUAUCGUAAGGAAGACCAGUGGCGAAGGCGGGUCUCUGGACAGUUCCUGACGCUGAGGCACGAAGGCCAGGGGAGCAAACGGG